GUGCUCCCUUCAGCAGCACAUAUACUAAAAUUGGAACCAUACAGAGAAGAUUAGCAUGGCCCCUAUACGAGGAUGACACACAAAUGCUUAAGUGCUCCAUAUUAAA
rnacentral:snRNA from 1 species